UUGGAGGGCAAGUCUGGUGCCAGCAGCCGCGGUAAUUCCAGCUCCAAUAGCGUAUAUUAAAGUUGUUGCAGUUAAAAAGCUCGUAGUUGAAUUUCGGGGUCAGUAGGUUGGUCAUGCCUCUGGUAUGUACUGGUCUCACUGAUUCCUCCUUCCUGAUGAGCCGUAAUGCCAUUAAUUUGGUGUUGCGGGGAAUUUGGACUGUUACUUUGAAAAAAUUAGAGUGUUUAAAGCAAGCUAACGCUUGAAUACAUUAGCAUGGAAUAAUGAAAUAGGACGUUCGAUCCUAUUUUGUUGGUUUCUAGGAUUGACGUAAUGAUUAAUAGGGAUAGUUGGGGGCAUUAGUAUUCAAUUGUCAGAGGUGAAAUUCUUGGAUUUAUUGAAGACUAACUACUGCGAAAGCAUUUGCCAAGGAUGUUUUCAUUAAUCAAGAACGAAAGUUAGGGGAUCGAAGACGAUCAGAUACCGUCGUAGUCUUAACCAUAAACUAUGCCGACUAGGGAUCGGAUGAUGUUAAUUUUUUAAUGACUCAUUCGGCGCCUUACGGGAAACCAAAGUGUUUGGGUUC
rnacentral:rRNA from 1 species